UGCCAGCCGCCGCGGUAAUACGGAGGGUGCAAGCGUUAAUCGGAAUUACUGGGCGUAAAGCGCGCGUAGGUUGAUUGGUCAGUCAAAUGUGAAAGCCCCGGGCUCAACCUGGGAACUGCACCUGAUACUGCCAGUCUAAAAUACGGUAGAGGGUAGUGGAAUUUCCUAUAUAACGAUGAAAUGCGUAAAUAUAAGAAAGAACACCAGUGACGAAAGCGACUACCUGGACCGAUAUUGACACUGAAAUGCGAAAGCGUGGGGAACAAACAGGAUUAGAUA
rnacentral:rRNA from 1 species